rnacentral:rRNA from 1 species
CACGUGGGGAACCUGCCCCAUAGUCUGGGAUACCACUUGGAAACAGGUGCUAAUACCGGAUAAGAAAGCAGAUCGCAUGAUCAGCUUUUAAAAGGCGGCGUAAGCUGUCGCUAUGGGAUGGCCCCGCGGUGCAUUAGCUAGUUGGUAAGGUAAAGGCUUACCAAGGCGAUGAUGCAUAGCCGAGUUGAGAGACUGAUCGGCCACAUUGGGACUGAGACACGGCCCAAACUCCUACGGGAGGCAGCAGCC